GCCCUGCUCUAGAGACAAUGCAGCUCAAGGAGUCAAAUGGUGUUUGGAGUGUUACUUGACCAAGAGAGUGGGAAAACCGAUACUAUUUAUAUGAAGUUGACGUGUAUCAUCCAACUAAGGCACAAAUUCUGAAAUGUUUAGCUGGUGACCUUUAUGCUAGAGGGUAUGUGGCUGUGCGUAUUUCAGUUAUGUAGUUCAGGGAGAGGAACUUUCAGCAGAAGAAAAAAGUUCAGGGAGAGGAAGAAACUAGCUUGUUGUUUAUUUGAUCAGCCUUUCUGCAAAUGGAGCGCGGACCUGGUUGGUUGACAUUAACAAUGAAACAUUGAAGCCAGCUUCCUGGGAUGAAUUGGCCGAUGAGAAGCCAAAACUUGAUUCCUGCUCUGACAUAACCAUCUACGAAUUGCACAUUCGUGAUUUUAGUGCCCAUGAUGGCACAGUGGACAUUGACUCUCGUGGAGGAUUUCGUGCAUUUGCAUACUAGGCCUCAGCAGGAAUGUUUGACUCAUGUGCAUUUGUUGCCAAGCUUUCAUUUUGCUGGCGUUGACGACAUUAAGAGCAACUGGAAAUUUUUCGAUGAGUGUGAACUAGCAACAUUCCCUCCAGGAUCAGAUAUGCAACAAGCAGCAGUAGUAGCUAUUCAGGAAGAGGACCCUUUUAAUUGGGGGUAUUCAUUUCACACUUCUUUUUCCCUCAAACAUUCCAGAUACUAAUGUAUCAUGGUGGUGUUAAUAUCGGAAAGUUAAUUAUGUUCUUGCGAGUAAAAUAUUCUUACAUAUGGUCAUAUUUAUGCUAAAGGUAUGACUCUGUGCUUUGGAAGGUUCCAAAAGGAAGCUAUGCAAGUGAUUUUAUCAGGAAAGAGAUGCAAACGAAAGGAAGAGAGCCUCCCCCAAGCUCUGUCUAGGCGAUGCACGGGCGACGGCCACCCUUCCUGUUAUUGCCUCCAUGGCUGACUACUCAUCCCCAGUAACCGCCCCCCCCCCCCCCCCUCACGUGCGCCACACUCUGGGAUUAAGGUCUGCUCCUUGGCUAGCAUUUGCGCUGACCGAUUCUCUGAUUUCUCUCCACCGAAGAAUCAAAGAAACAAGCAAGCUGAUGUCUAACAUAUUUGUUUCGUAAUAGUUGGAACUGGAAGAGGAAGCUCCAGUACAAUUCAGAUCUCUGCUCAAACCCUCAAUAUCUCAUGCAUACAUAACUGCUUAUUGUGUGAAUAUUAGACGUUACUUGUGCAUCAUCUUCACCCUUUCCUAAUUCAAUAUCUGUAAAAGUAGGCAAAGCUUCCUGUUAUUAUGUGCUAUAAUAUUUUUGAAUUGCUGUCUAGAAAAUACUUGGUCAGUUCUUCCGUAAGAAAGCUGAAGUUGGAUAUUAGGUGCUUUAACAAAGCUACUCCCUCCGUUCACUUUUAUAAGUCAUUUCAGACAACUCAAAAUGAACUACUUUGCACAUUGUCUGAAAUGUCUUCAAGGCCUUAUAAAAGUGAACAGAGGGAGUAAUUCUUUUAAGCAAUUACAUUACCAUUGUUAGAUAUAUUAUUCAGAGCUCACUAAAGUAGAAAGGUUCUGAUGCUUUGACGGUACAGUUUCCUGAGCAUGCUUCAACAUCAUUUGUUUCUGCAUAUCGUUAAUCGUGGGCUUUUCAUGAUUUUUUUUCUGUUUUUAAAGAUUGUCAAAGUACAUGCUGCAAGAUACUGUUGAGUUAAUUAAUUUCCUCGAGUUAAACAAAAAUAUGGAAACUGUCAAGGAGAUGUCGAAUGAUGAAUAUAUUCAGAUACUAAGAGAGGUUCUAAAAUGUGUUUUGGCAGAGUGCUAGCACGCUACAUUGGAGAGAAAGUGUUGAGAGAAUGCUUUGUUGGGAUGAUAGACAUGAAUAAUCAAUCCUGAAUCAUCAUUCCAAGGUUAGAUUUGUACUUCCUGCCCAGUUCUUUUUCACAAAGGACCAAGCCUCUUACUUUAUCCAUUUCUUAAUUUUGUUCCUUCACAGAAAAACAUUUUCUCAUUUCAAUCUUUCUCCAUUUGGUAUGAGUAUGACACACGCUCUGAAUUUUUUGACUAUUCUUGGUUGAUUAAUGGUUGGUGUAUUGCCUUCCACUUUGGAUUAUUCUAAAUCUUCUUGCUUAGGCUAUGUGUACCAUUCUGUCAUGUGCCACCAUUGAUCUGAGCAAAAAUCAGUGUAGAUGAACCGAGCUAUUUUAUUAUAAGCUGUGUACAGAACUUCCAGGAAAGAUAACCAUGUAGUUAUUGUUUUAUGCCGUAUAUAUUCAGAUAGGUGAAUUAUCGCAAGUUAGUCCCGGUAUGUUAAUAGGAUUGUGCCAACCUAGAGCCUUUUCAGAUGGUGCCAACUCUGUUUGGGGUUUCCUUCUACCUAAUCAAGGCUUAGCCCAGUUUGUCUUGUCCUUAUCUCCUUUUCUGUCAUAAAUUCUUCAUCUAUUCAAGAAGCUCAUUUUUGUUAGUUGGAACAACUGAAAAAAUCAUACUCCCCCCGUUCCUGUAUAUAAAGUCUAAUUGUUUUUUCAAAAGUCAAACGAGUGCAUGUUUGACCAAGUUUUUAGAAAAUAUAUUGAUAUCCACUAUACCAAAUUUAUAUCAUUCGAUCCGUCAUGAAAAGUAGUUUUAUAUUUUAUCUACUAGGUUUUUCAGAUGUUGAUAUUUUAUUCUAUAAUCUUGGUCAAACAUUCGAAUGGUUGACUUGGAGGAUAUCAAUACACCUUAUUUUCUGGAAUGGAGGGAGUAUCAUUCUUGGUGUGAUGGACAAAUAGAAAGAAAGGUCCGCAAAGAGUGCACUCACAAAAGCCAUGUACUGUAGGCCAUGAGUGAUUACCUUGAAAGCUUUCUCAUCGAGGCCAUAGUUCCAAACUAUACCAUCCUUUAAGAAACAUUCAAUCAGAAUUGGAGGAAAUGCCAUCCAUUGGGGUUCUGAAGUUCUGAACUUUGAUCUCUCUAUUUGAAUCGUUGUUAUUAUUUUGUCUGUAGGCCAUGAGCAAAUAAUCUGGAGAGUGCCUAAUGUUCCUCAACUUUUCUUAUGUUCCAAAUUCACUAUAGUGUUGAUCAUCUUCAAAGAACAGAAAACGUAUGACAGGAUUAAGAUUGUAAUUUGUGCUCAUAUUUUUUUUCCAAAAUUCACUGCUUGAUUAAUUUUGUUGUAGAAGCUUGAGAGAAAAAGAUAGUAAAUACAUAGUAACUUUAUAUUGAUUUAAGAGUAAUAGCAACACACCUGCUUUUAACUAUAUAUAAAUAUCUCUAUAUUGUUCUAUACUAUCCGUUAGCAAGCGAGCGUUUGAAUUGCUGUUGAUGUGCAUUGUACCUGGGCUUGGCCACUUGGAUCGUGAGACAAGAUCGAUCGACUAGAUGCUUGUUUAUUUGUGUUGUUCUUAAUUUAACUUUGUGGAAGGCUGCGAGCCGAAUGCGUCAUCGACGAGGAGGUGAGUUUGGAUUUGGACGGUGAAGAUGAGAAGAUAGUUGGGAAGGAAGAAGGUAUAAAAUCAACAAUAUCGUCUGGUGUGCGUGAGGAUCCUAAUGGUACAUGUUUGACGUGAUCGUUGCUAACCUAAUAAGAUAUGCGGUGGCACGAGGUGGUGGCAUAAAUGGGGUGGUUGUGCUGCAUGUCCAAGGCUGCACUAGGGAGGCGCGAGCGGUGCCUCCCGCAAGAUUCCAUUGGGGCGACGCAUGGGCGGCAGCCACCCCCAAGACCCUGUUAGCACAAUUUCAUAAUAAUAUACUUAUACUGAUUGUUGUGCAAAAUAGAACGCUAUUGUUUGUAGUUAUAUUAGUUUAUUUCCUCUAUAUACAAUGACAUGUCUUAUUGUGUGUCCAAGAGGAAGGAAAAAUAUAUGUUUCUAGGUGUUAAGUGACUUACCUUUAAAAGGAAUAACUCUAAUAAGAAGUCCUGUUUUAGAUGCCGAGUUGAUGAAAUUUGUUACCUAAGAUAUAUGCGGUAAUUUGAUAUGAACCCAAA